GAGUGUUACAGCUCUUUUAGAAUAUGUGUAGUAGGUCUUCCUGUCUCUACUGGAAGCACCCCC
ensembl:snRNA U7 U7 small nuclear RNA